rnacentral:rRNA from 1 species
UGAGGAAUAUUGGUCAAUGGGCGAGAGCCUGAACCAGCCAAGUAGCGUGCAGGAUGACGGCCCUAUGGGUUGUAAACUGCUUUUGUAUGGGGAUAAAGUCAAUCACGUGUGAUUGUUUGCAGGUACCAUACGAAUAAGGACCGGCUAAUUCCGUGCCAGCAGCCGCGGUAAUACGGAAGGUCCGGGCGUUAUCCGGAUUUAUUGGGUUUAAAGGGAGCGUAGGCUGGAGAUUAAGUGUGUUGUGAAAUGUAGACGCUCAACGUCUGACUUGCAGCGCAUACUGGUUUCCUUGAGUACGCACAACGUUGGCGGAAUUCGUCGUGUAGCGGUGAAAUGCUUAGAUAUGACGAAGAACUCCGAUUGCGAAGGCAGCUGACGGGAGCGCAACUGACGCUGAAGCUCGAAGGUGCGGGUAUCGAACAGGAUUAGAUACCCUGGUAGUCCGCACAGUAAACGAUGGAUGCCCGCUGUUGGUACUUGGUAUCAGCGGCUAAGCGAAAGCAUUAAGCAUCCCACCUGGGGAGUACGCCGGCAACGGU